CCUCAGAAGCAUAACCACUUUAAGAGAGCACAUAAUUAACUAUCCUAAUGAUCUGAUCAUGGAGGUUUCCCUGCCUGCUUUAUCCUAUUUUCAUGUAAUAUUCCUUAUGUUUCCUCCUUAAUUCCAAAUGUGUAAAAGAAACUGCAAACUGUCAUUCAGGGAAGCAUUUUCUGUCUGUCAGGGUCUUGCUUCUAGGCAUGUUCUCUGUGUGGCUCAAAUAAAGUCUAAUAAACUCAAAACUUUUCUACACAUUUGGACAUUCUUAAAUUGAGUCUGUAAGUCCCUGAAAUAUGCUGGUAUUUGACCUGUUACGGAUCUAGUGGCAACAAGAGGUGAUAAAUUAUGGGUCCAGAGGAGGAUGAGUAUCCCUUUCAAGGUGACUCUGUGAUAGUGUUCUCCAGCCAAGGAAGGCUAGUUAUGGCACUGCUAACGUACAUCCAUUGUCAAGGUAUGCUUAGAGUGACUCACAGAUUUGAGAUUCUCAGUUUCAUUUGCAUCCUAUGAGAUUUUUCCACUGAGUUUCAGAGUCUCAUUAUUUCUCAGUGUCAUAACUUUCACAUAAGAAAGUUGUAAAGACUGUGAACCUCACUGCUUUUAUAAUUCAAACACUUGCUCUGUUAAAUUUUGUGCUUGGUGUUCAGAAAUAUUGGUCCCAUGGUUUCAAGAAAUAAGAGAUUAUAAUAGAACUGCCAAUGGAAGCUCUCUGAUUCUCAGACUGUAAUCUUGAACUUGUCUUUUUCUUUCUAUAAGUGCUGCAGUGCACUCAGGAGAGUCCAUUACAUAGCACAGACCUUGUUAUUGCUACUGCCAUGAUGGUCCAGUGUAGGAGCCACGUGGGCUCUCAAGGCAUUUGUUCUAGUAAGUACUUCAUCACAGUCAGCCACCGGUGAUGAUUUAAUCGGAAUGUCACUGUGCUGUCAUGGGUAACUGACAUCUAAUUUCUUGCUGGUGAGGACCUCUGUGCUGCUCUCAAACCCAAACACAGGACCAAAUCCAUUCUCAAAUCCCAGCUUUGAGUGGCUGUCUCCUCAGACUACUCCCAAGACCAGUUCUACAUCAGGGUCCAAUCAGCAGACACCAGUAAUGUGAAUAAAAGAAAUUUGCUAUGAAGAAUUGUGACUUGUAAAAGCGGGUACAGCCCCAUCAACCCAAUUCCUGCUGUAGAGAGCUGGCACUCCUCUAGCUCUAGAGAAGACUGGGAGAGUACCAUUGACAGCAGCCUGACUUUAAGGACCACCAUCCUGACAAAGGAGCUUGCAAAAGUCUUUCCAGAGUUGUAACAAGAUGUUUAAGAUGACAGCCACGUGCAGAAUGUCAAGCCAUCUUUCAUUCUGCACUGGACCUUGGAACAGAGGCCAGGUUGCCUGCCUUGGCUGACUUCAUUGCCUCCCUCACCAGAUCAAACUUUUUAAGUAGUUGAAAUAGAAGUUGUCUCAUGAUGCCUCUGU